GAAAGAUAACGAAACAGGAUGAUGUUGCAAUUAAAUCCUUCCUUUAUCACGUUUACAUUAAGAGUAGAGGAGGGGAAAGAGAGAUUAAUGCCGCUAGAUUAUAGAAUAAUUUAAUCUGAUUGGUGCAAAGCUCGAUUUUCCAACCAAUGGAAAUGACUUUUGCACACAUUUCCUCUGAAUUUUUUAGCUUUUUCACCUUUCUGCACACGUCCCACCUCAGAGGACGAGUGCAAUUUUGCAGACGGAGGGGACGAUGAAUGCAAAAUAUUGAAUAUAAGACAUGACAGGACUAUGCAAAAUUAUGAAUUGUAGUUUUGAGUAAGCGAGUUUAUUAUCUCAUCAAAAAUCUUUCUUUCUUUAGUUCUUCCUUUUGAUUAAAAGUGAAAAUGCCUGGUGGACCUUGUGGACCAAACUGCACCUGCGAGAAAUGCCGUUGCUGUUCUGCAGCUUCCAAAUGUACUUCUAACUGCAAAUGCGACAACUGCCGUUGCUGCCAGAGGAGCCAGAAGUGCAAUUGUGGUGAUUGCAAGUGCUGCGGUGAGGCCAAGUGCUGAAACGUAUCUCGAACAGAUUGAAAGCAACCAAACAAAGAAUUGAUGAAUAAAAAUAUUUAUUGUCCAGACAUCUCGUUGUUAUAAAACUAAUAAAUGCUAUUCGUUUGAGAAA